CCUACGGGGGGCAGCAGUGGGGAAUAUUGCACAAUGGGGGAAACCCUGAUGCAGCGACGCCGCGUGAGUGAAGAAGUAUUUCGGUAUGUAAAGCUCUAUCAGCAGGGAAGAAAAUGACGGUACCUGACUAAGAAGCCCCGGCUAACUACGUGCCAGCAGCCGCGGUAAUACGUAGGGGGCAAGCGUUAUCCGGAUUUACUGGGUGUAAAGGGAGCGUAGACGGCAGCACAAGUCUGGAGUGAAAUGCCGGGGCUUAACCCCGGAACUGCUUUGGAAACUGUGCAGCUAGAGUGCAGGAGAGGUAAGUGGAAUGCCUAGUGUAGCGGUGAAAUGCGUAGAUAUUAGGAGGAACACCAGUGGCGAAGGCGGCUUACUGGACUGUAACUGACGUUGAGGCUCGAAAGCGUGGGGAGCAAACAGGAUUAGAUACCCCGGUAGUC
rnacentral:rRNA from 1 species